UACGAAGGGGACUAGCGUUGUUCGGAAUUACUGGGCGUAAAGCGCACGUAGGCGGAUUUGUAAGUCAGGGGUGAAAUCCCGGGGCUCAACCCCGGAACUGCAUUCGAUACUGCUGCGCUAGAGUACUGGAGAGGAGAUUGGAAUUUACGGUGUAGCAGUGAAAUGCGUAGAUAUCGUAAGGAAGACCAGUGGCGAAGGCGGAUCUCUGGACAGUUACUGACACUGAGGCAGCGAAGGCCAGGGGAGCAAACGGG
rnacentral:rRNA from 1 species